AUGACUUCUGUGGCCUGUUCUGGAACUGUUCAGUUUAGCUUCAGUCCAAGAACCAGACCAUAGGUGGGAACCAGACGCCAUGGACCAGCAGGGCGACUGCAGGACACUGACACCACAUCCCAGCUCCAGACCUCGGGAGAAGCCGAGCCAGCUAAAGAAAGAACUCUAAAUCCAUCACCUUCUCCACAACAAAAAGAAUUCCACGAGCCUCUCAAAAAAUAAAGCCAAGCAGCUGAAAACAGGGAAAAUCAGCACCACAGUAAAUACAUGAGCACAGAAAGUUCAUGGAAAAAAGUCUAUUAUUAUGGUGGAAGAUGAAUAAGAUUGUGGAAGCAGAGUCAGAAUCACUGAAAAUGUAGGUAAAUUGCAUACCAAUUCUAUGUUGUAUGUGGAAUAACAAUGGAUGAAUACAUCCUGCCAUGGUUUUAUUAUUUGUUUGCUAAUAUAUUUUUGCUUUGAAUUUACUGAACUGGAAGCUCUGAAUGAUUACAAACCACCCUAUACAAAAGUAAGUUAUCCUUUGAAAAACAAGUAACUGGAAAAUAUUUGUUUGGUUUACUUGGGUUUUUUUGUUUGUUGUGGUUUUGGGGUUUGCUGGGUUUUUGUUGUUUUUUUCUUAAGGGUAGUAUCUUAAAAGUUAUUGUCUUGUUAUUGAGAUUUUAACAUGGAUGAGACUUAGGAUUUUAUAAAGGAAAUUACAAUUUUCUCAUUUGGACCAAUAUGCCAAACAGGCUCCAUAACCACAUUCCUACUUAUAUGAAUGUUACAAUUGCCUGUUGCUGAAAUGAGAUAAACUGAAGAUGCAUUUUUCUUCCAUGCCAAAUAAACUGUGACUCAAAAGUG